rnacentral:tRNA from 1 species
UUAAUCGAAACCAAAAUUUAGAGGUAUGUCACUGUUAAUGACAUCAUUGGGAAACCCCCCGAUUAAA